ensembl:lncRNA
CUCUUUUAUGUGAAAUAUAGGUGCUGAGGAUUACAGCUAAAUGAAAUUGAAGUGCUGCCUUGACCUUUUCCUGUUUCAUAGAAACUGGCUUAAUUAACAUCCUCUGACAUCUUACCUAAAAAUCAGCCCUUUCUUUUCAGUAUAUUGAAAUGCAGUAUGUAUUCCUUUACAACCAGGUUUCUUCAUGAAUACCAAAUGCUUUUCCAUUUUCUGAAAGCUACUGGCCUACAUUCACCUUCAACUGAAUGCAGCAUUUGGGCAUCUUAAACAGAAUGCCCCAGCCCUUUGCAAGUUUCACGAAAAGUUUAAAGACAGGCAAAAAUAAACAAACAGAACUCAUCAGAACAAAAAACAACAACAAAAACACAUGGCUCGGAAUUUGUAACAAUUCUCUUCCUAAUUCUUUGAACUGUGCAGCUAAGACUAAGUCUUCACUGGCACAACUACUUCAGUAUAUCAUCUGCUGAUCAAGCCAAAGUGUAGUCUUUGUGACUGCUUGUUUUAUUAACUUAUUUGUUAUCUUUAAAAGGUAGAAGGAGGUGCAAGUAAGGAUCAUGGUUUGCCAUGACUUCUUAUACAUUAAAGUAUACAGAAUUACAAUUUAAUUUAAUUUAGCAGAAUUAACAGGAAGUACACAGACAGCUAUUUAAAAUCACAACUGGUGAAAAAUAUUGUAUCAUUUCAAGAAUACUUCGGGAAGAUAAUUUUUGAGAUAUUUCUAAAACUGUUUUUAAACAGAUGCCUUAUUUUAAUGGAAGUUAUUUAGAUUCUGAUCAUGCAGCCUUUUAGUGCUAAUAAUGCAAUAUGCUAAGCAGCAAUAUUUAUCCGAAGAGCUGACAGUACUUAUAUAUUAUUUCUGGUAUUGCAUUUAGCAUGUAAAUAAAAAGUUCCACAAAGAAGUCCUAGAGUCAUAACUUCCAAACAAAAAAAAAUGUAUGUUUCAUUAGCUGUAGCAAUAUCCAAAGCAUUUUCUGCAAAUGGGUAACCAAAUCUUAAUUCUUGUCACUUAUAAUACACAUUAAUUAUUUAAAAUUUAAUCAUUUUGUCCUAAGAAUCCUACAUGCAGGACUUUGUCAUUGAGGUACCUGAAUCUAUUCAAGGACUCCUUAUUUGGACUUAUUGAAAUAUAUGAUAUG